GUGCUCAUGGUGUAGUGGUUAUCACAUCUGUCUAAACAACAGAAGGUCCCAGGUUCGAUCCCCUGGGAGCACA
rnacentral:tRNA from 1 species